GACGAACGCUGGCGGCGUGCUUAACACAUGCAAGUCGUACGGUAAGGCCCUUUCGGGGGUCCACGAGUGGCGAACGGGUGAGUAACACGUGAGUAACCUGCCCACAACUUUGGGAUACUGCUACUAAACUGGUGCUUAUCCUGCAUAUGUGCUCCUGCUGCCUGUUGGGGGUUGGCAAGCUCCGGAGGUUGUGGAUGGACUCGCGGCCUAUCAGCUUGUUGGUGGGGUAGUGGCCUACCAAGGCGGCGACGGGUAGCCGGCCUGAGAGGGUGACCGGCCACAGUGAGACUGAGAGAGGGCCCAGACCCCGACGGGAGGGAGAAGUGGGGAAGAGUGAACAAGGGGAGCAAGCCUGAUGCAGAAACGCCGCGGGCGGGAGGACGGUCUUCGGGUUGUAAACCGCUUUCAGCAGGGACGAAGCUGUUUGUGACGGUACCUGCAGAAGAAGCACCGGCUAACUACGUG
rnacentral:rRNA from 1 species